CGUUAACGCUGGCGGCAGGCCUAACACAUGCAAGUCGAGCGGCAGCGCGGGGGCAACCCUGGCGGCGAGCGGCGGACGGGUGAGGAAUUCGUCGGAAUCUGCCUUUUUGUGGGGGAUAACGUAGGGAAACUUACGCUAAUACCGCAUACGUCCUACGGGAGAAAGUGGGGGACCGCAAGGCCUCACGCAGAAAGAUGAGCCGACGACCGAUUAGCUAGUUGGUGGGGUAAAGGCCCACCAAGGCGACGAUCGGUAGCUGGUCUGAGAGGAUGAUCAGCCACACUGGGACUGAGACACGGCCCAGACUCCUACGGGAGGCAGCAGUGGGGAAUAUUGGACAAAGGGCGCAAGCCUGAUCCAGCCAUGCCGCGUGUGUGAAGAAGGCCUUCGGGUUGUAAAGCACUUUUGUCCGGAAAGAAAUCCCUGGAGCUAAUACCUUCGGGGGAUGACGGUACCGGAAGAAUAAGCACCGGCUAACUUCGUG
rnacentral:rRNA from 1 species